CGCACCCAAGCCCCUCGUCACCUCCUCUGUCCCUCUCCCACGAGACUCUCCUCACCGCCGCCACCUACGGCGGUCGAUCCUGGCCGAAUCCGGCGGCCGCCGGCAGCGCCCAGCACACCCACGUGAUCCCCUCGGCCCGCUCCUCCAUCUCCUCUGGCCAGAUUCGACGGGCGCGUCCUCCUGCGACCAUGCGCAAAACUCUCCAUCCACUAGGGUUUGGGCCACCGCGUCGCAAGUGUGGCUCCGGCGUUGCUCCGGUGAUUCAGAUCCACUCUCUUCCCUCGUCACACCCCUCCUUCAUUCUCCUCCUCACCACGUACCCUCUAACUCUCAGAUCCGUCGUCGCUCGAGCACCGGAUGCCAUGUACGGGAUGGCUGCUUCCUCCCCUGCCCAGAUGCCAUGGAGCGGCUAGAUCUGGGCGUGUACGACGACGCCCAGUGAGACGGCCUGGCCUACCACCCCAAAGCCAUAGCAAGGCGGGUGAGGGAGGAGUAGACCGCAGUCAUAUGGUAGCCAAGAGGGAUCUGAAGCGUUCGUCUCCUUCGAGCACCAAGACGGGUCUGCGGUGGAUGCUGGGUUGGAGCUCGGGUCGAUGGCGUGGCCAUGGAAACGACCUCCUUGACCUCGACAGCCAAAGCGUCGGCAGUGGAACAUCUGAUUCCUGAACCUUUUCUUUUCCUCUUUUAAUUUAAAGUUCUUAUUAGCUUAGUUGUAGAUUUCUAAGCAUGCCAUCUUGUUGUGAUUAAUUAUGUUAGUUUAGUUCUAGAUUUCGGUUGCUACUACUGUUGCAUAAUUGACCCUGAGUAUUCUGUCAUCUCAUAUGCUUCCAUGGCUUGCCUACCAACCUGCUCGAGCAGUAACAUAAACCAAGUUAUUUGAGCAACCAACCAACAACAACGAUAGUAGCACCAACUGUGUUCCUAUUCUACUCUCUAUUGGAGACUGAUGAAUGUUUAGCACUUUAUGGCAGCCCCAUAUGCAACAGGAGACCAGCAAAAGCAGCGAGUGAGAGCGGCUGUGAAUGCAUAGUUGGCGUCGAUGACUGCAUAGAGUAGUGUGAGCUAGGCUACAUCUGAUGCGAGUGGAAGAGCGUGGCUUAUAGUCAACUCCCACAAUGAUCUUUCUUUAAAUGUCAGGCUAACAUGGAAAGUGCUAUGGAACAAGAGGUACCAGAAGGUGAAGAACCAAAGAGUGAUGUUGUUGCUGACCUUUUCUCACUAAAGAAUGGCCCUCCAGCAGAUUCCCUCACUGGAUGUGUUGUUUUGGUUGGUGCCAUCUUAUGUUACUGGUUACUAGUGCACAAUAUGGACAUGUGCCAUCUUAUGAACAUGGGGUAAUAAUACUAAGCUACUGGUUGUGUUAUAUUGGUUGGUGCAUCUUAUGAACCUAUGGUGUAAUGAUACUGUUGGGCCUAACUUAUUGAAAUCCUGGAGAAUUAUAUUAUUAUUAUCAUCAUUA